rnacentral:lncRNA from 1 species
UGGCUGCUUGAAAAUGGGCACUAUGACAUUCACGUUGUCAUCUACAUGACGGGAUUGAACAAUUUGAAUCAUGCCUUCAUCCAUCAUUCAUUGGAUGUCCCUUUUCACAACUUCACAACCCCUUGAAUUAAUACUGCAAACAACACAACCAUCAUGGUCAUGCUCACAAUCACCUACCAUACAAAUGUCCUUAUGCAUCUGCGCCAAGGAUCUCCGAAUAAAACGA